rnacentral:misc_RNA from 1 species
AAGUCGUAACAAGGUUUCCGUAGGUGAACCUGCGGAAGGAUCAUUACUGAAAGAAACUAUUUUAGUUUUUCUUCAUCCAUCUCCCUUUGUUAAUUGAAUCCAUAUUUUUUCUUCCACCAGACAGUGUUCCCUUUUUUUUUUUUUUCUAAAAAGGAAACCCUCGGGCUUGAGUAGAUUUUUCCCUCUAUUCUUGUCAGGGAGUGCUGGUGGUAAGACUCCUCUUUCCAAAACUUUUGUUAUAAACAAAUUGUCUGACAAAAACUUUCUUAAAUGAAAUAAAACUUUCAACAACGGAUCUCUAGGCUCUU